CGGAAUGUAAAAACUACUGCACGUAUGCCUACGACUGUCAUAUCGCAAUCAUAAAACGUUCCGGCGAUUAAGUUCACGUUAGCACUUGUGCUUUUAUAAACGCGGUCUCAAGUAUGAUUGCACAAACGCGCAUUCCAACGCGGUCACGUCCGGAAGCCCUAGCCUAGGUUCAGCCUUCGGUUGGUCGGAUCUCAAAAAAGUCACUCUUGUAUACAAGACUAACGGGCUGGCAGAUAACAUGGGUAGUUCCACCUACAUGAAAAUAACCGAAUGAAUAAUUCGGAUACUUCCAACUCGAAAUUUUGGAAUCAACAUCAAAUUUGAAAUAUGCUACGCAUGCGUCUGACGCACACAAUGUGCACGUCUGAAUUUUCGACGUACGACGAUGUCAUUUGUACAAGCGCAUCGCAAGUGAUUGUAAUGCAAUCGCCAGUAUUGUGAAACUGCGACAAAGCUCUAGUAAUAGACUGGUGCCCACCCUAGGCUUCUCUGGUGUUAUGCCGGCCCUGCAAGACUAUACGUUUCACAGCGACGUUGCCGGGAACCCUAAUGAUAAGGGGAAACACAUUCUCUUCUAGCAUCAGCAGCGUAUGUUAAAAACUAAGCAUUGGAAUCACGGCCCGCGCGAAAAUUACGUCGAUGGAGAAAAAUUUCAAACUGGAUCCAAAUCUACAGCCACUGAUCGAAGAUAGAUCUGUGAAGAAACCUGGGACUACAUCUUGAUAAAUACAGACCUGCAGGUUUCUUCACGUGGAUCUCUUGAAAGAGAGGAGCAACGUAUUAAGUGGGCAUAAUCGUCAACACAAGCAAGUCCAAAUCUUCUUCAAAUUGACAUCGUUCUGUAUACACUGGAAACACUCAUCUUCGAAUACAACGCAAGAGUAAAUGCAUCUUUGAGAGGAAGGAUAUUGCAAGUGGAAUAAGACUGAUUUUUUCGGAGCUGUUUUAUAGCGUCACCAACCGGUAUAAGAUGCCGUUAGAAACCUGCAUUGCAUCCAUCAAGGUGUUGGAAUUAAUCGAUAGCGACAUUUGCUUUGCAUUUGACGAGCUACGGUUACCACAGAACGUGAGCACCAUUAAACUGCAUAUG